UAAGGCGGCGAGGGGGGUGUGGACGGACGGACUGAUGGAUGGUUGGUGGCGUGUCCUCGCAUUAGCUUAAAUUGUACGCGAACAGAAAAAGCAGAAGCCGCUGCAUCUCCUGAAUGGCAGAAGACGUCUCCUCCUGUCUUAGGAGUGGCUGAUGAGCCUUGAAGCACAGAACUUUUCCGUUUCUCCGAAGUGGAAGAUGCCUGACACCGUGAAGUGCUACUCCAUUUCCUUGUGGAAGCUGGUGCUUUACUGAGGCGCCCAGGACGAACAAAGACACCGUGUCGUGGUUUGCAGUGGAAGUACUCUUUGCCUUUUACAAUUCCAUCGUGCUUUCCUUCAACGAAAAGAAAUGCACAGGAUUAAAUGUUGGUACUUUCAUUAGCACAUAUAAUUGAGGUGCUGAAGCGUGAAUAGCUUUGGUCAUCUGCAAAAUACUCAAGAUUGUUCAUGCUGAGUCAUGAGGCCAGAUGCUCACAAUACACUAGGGCGAACAAAACUUGGAAAGGACGGCUUGAAUUGUAACCAAAAAGAUGAUUUUCUAAAAUAUUACUUUGUUAACUAACAGUUUAAAAAGUCAAGCACUUGUUCAUAAAGUGAACUGUCCAGCAAACCAAUUGCUUGCAAAGCUUAAAAUUUAGCUGCCAGACAAACUUCUGGUAUCAGUGAUAAUAUGUAUUAUCUAAACUACUAAAAACAUCAUCUUAAUGCUUGCAGAACACUGACUUUUUCUGACCCCUCUGAACUGAAAUUAAAGAAAACUUGUAUCCUGGAAUUCAGCUUUCCCCACUGGAAAACAAAAAUAAAUCUCUGAAAGCCACUGACAGCAAACCAAUUUGACAAGUGAUGCACGUUGUCAGCAAUGCCCAUGAACGUGUGUGCAUGUUGCUUUUUAAAAAAAAAUCUGCCCAUUUUAGGCUUUUCUUAUUUCUCUGAUCUGUAAAAACAGAUGGGUACCAAUGGGAACUACUACAACAUGCAAAAACAUUAUUCUGCAUAAAGCAAGAAGAGCAGGGCUUUAAGACAGAUAAAAGUUGAUUAGAAUAUCCCUAUAAACAGAAAGUGGAGAAUAUCAGAUACCAAGCUUCAUGAAAUUGGAGAAACUUCCCAGGACUGAAUAGGAAUGAACUGUACUGCAAUUUUAAAAAUUGUUCACGCUAACUGCACAGAUAACCCAGAGCAUAUUUGGUCUUACCCAGCUGAACAUUUAGUUCUACUCCAACCCAGAUUCCAGCUGAAAAAUCCACUGUUCCAACGUAUCUCACUGUGCCCAUCUUAUUACUUCCAACACAGACUUGCUCGCCCACAGCCACCCAGCUAGGCAAGACUUGGGCUUGAUCUGCAGAAGCACCUUCUUCACAAUCAGAACCAUCCAAGUGGUCCUUCGUAAUAAAAUCGUCUAUGGAAGUAUCAGGAUAAGUCUCAGGAUCUGAAGUCUCUUUUACCAGUACAGAACAAAAAGGGCUCUCCACGGCACCUGCAAGCCGGUCGCCUGCUGCUGCUGCAGAGCUCUGCUGGCCCACACAAGUGCUCUGCUCCUUGUCAGGGCCUUGGGGUGACACUGAGGCGCUCACUCCAUUAGAGGACAGAAGGGAACACGACUGCGGAGCCGUGGAAUGGUCAAAGUCCUUCCCAUCUUCGACGCCCAUGAACUCUGUAAAGGAGUGAUCUUCCAGAAUGUCUGUCGUGUGCUCCACUGUUACUUCGCGUGCUGAAAAUUCAAUUGUACAACAGGUAUUUUUGCUAUCCAAGGAGCUCAGAGCUGAAAGUGAUCCAGUUCUGGGUAACCGCUGAGAGUCUCUGUCAGUGGCACUGAGGGACGGUGGUACUUGCUCUGUUAAGGCACUGUUUUCUUUCAGUGGUAACACUGGUAACUUUUCUUUCGCUAGCUCCUUUUCUAACUCUCGACAUUCCUUGUUCGAAGAAGAUCUUAAAUCAUGUGCAAGGAAUGAUCCUGCGGGAUCAUUAGAGUCCAGCUCCUUUGUGUGACUGGCUAGCUGGUCUGUGCUAUCACUACAGGGAACAAGCAUGUCAGACAGGGUAGCGUUAGAGGCACUGUGGGAAAAGUAGCCACUAGUAAUACUGCUAGUGGUGGGGCUGCGGGAUACCUCUUUCUCAAGAACACGUGAACUCAUGAAGUCUGAUUUAGAAGAGAACCACUCCCUGUUCUCCAGGCUAGCAUUGUAAAUACUGAAGUCAGCAAACUCCUCCGGUACAUAAGGCCGGAAAUUUUGAAAACUUUGUGGACUUAUCAGUUUCUUAUUAAUGGCCUCCAACUCACUGUCUUCCUCCUCAGAGUCCUGCAAAAGAACAGAGAGUUGAAUGGGAUUAGGAACCGAUGGCAGUGAGGUUUUCAAAAUAAGCUAACUUUCCUUGAUUUUUUUAUUUCUGAACGUGGAGAAAUAUGUACCUUUAAUAUCCUUUAACUGAAGAAUGGAAGACAGCAUUGAAAAGAGUGGCUGGGAAUGUGCCCUGUCUACACUGAGCUAUUUAAUUUUUAGAAAAUAAAUUCUAAAUAGUUCAGAAAAUAUAAAACAAUAAAUGGAAAGUUAUGUUUACAUGUUUUCAUCCAUGUAUGAUAAACCUUUUACCCCCAUGACUGUGACUAAUUAAACCUAUUGAAGGCAUUCUAUAGAACUAAUUGACCACCUAACAAGAUAAAUAUAAAUAUGAAUGGGAGCCACAGUCUUUGCUGCAAUACCCAGGUUUCUAUUAAACUGAUAUCAGCAAAGCUAAAUAACCUUUUUUACCCACGGCUAUCAUACCUGAACGCAUUCACAAUGCUUGAAAAUAAAGGCAAAAUUAUCAAAUACUACAGUGAAUCUUCAAGGAAGCAUUUGUGUGCAUACAUGUACAUGUCUGGAGGAAAAUAAGCGACACUAAUCAGCCUGGCAGAAUUUGGAGAUACCUCCUUGAAUUUCCCUUUGAUAAUGAGUGGGAAUGCACUGUGAGCAGACCCGCAGAUGUGGCUUUCACAGAGUCCAUCAGAAGCUGACGACUUCAGUCUGUAAAGAUGCAUCUGAGAAAGACCCCAGCAACACGGUGGUGCUGCUCCCACCAGGAUAUAAAAUGCUGAUAUAAAAUAUAAAAAUGGUGAUAUAAAAUGCUGCAGGCAGGACUCCACAUGGAUGCUUUUUUAAGUUCUUCCUUUUUCUUAUACAUAUGGGUUUAUUUACAAAUGUAUGUGUGCAGGUAUAAACAUACAUAUAUGUAUACACACAUAUACAUAUUAAAAAUGGUUAGUUUACAGGGAAUUCCUUCUAGAAAGAAUAGUAUUUUCAGAAAAAUGAAAACUACUGAAGUACUUCAGAGAAAUUCAAGCUCCUAUUAUAUCUCAGUUCCUUUAUCUGCAUCAUAGAUUUCAAAUACUGAUCAAGGCACAUCCUGUGUGGUACCUAAAGUAGUUUGAUGCUUUCAGGCACCUGCUAUGAAUCACCAAUGUAAAAGGAAAAGCAUAAUAGUUAACCAGAUGACCACUGAGAACCAAUGCAUCAGGAUAAACAGCCUCUUGAAAAUGUUUAUGAUACUUUGUAAUAGCCAAGACUGUUCAAAUAACUUUGUACGACAAGGCUUCAUAUGUGCAGAAAGAAAACAGGCUUGUUCAGUUUGCCCAUGUCAGAAUAAUGACAAAAUUGUUUAGGCUGGAAGGCAUCUCUUGAGGUGAAUUAGUCCAAUCUCCCACUGCUCAAGCAGGGGUCAGCCAGAGCAGACUGUCCAGAACAGUGUCCUGUUGGAUGAGUUUUGAGAUCUCCAAGGAUGGAGACUCUAUAACCUUCCUGCACAACUCAUGCCAGUGUUUGACCACCCUCACAGUAAACAAACUGUUUUCUUGUGUUCAGAUGGAAUCUUGUGUGUUUUGAUUUGUGCCCAUUGCCUCAUGUCCUGUCACUGGGCAUUGCUGAGAAGAGUCUGCCUUGUCUUCACCCCCUCCCCACCAGGUGUUUGUAUGCAUUGAUAAGACGCCCCUGAGCCUGGACUCCUUCAGGCUGAACAGCCCCAGACCUUCCAGCCUCUGCCUGUAUGUCAGAUGGCCCUUAUCUGUAACAAAGUCUCAUUUUCAUUCCUACCGUGUUCAAGCUCAUAGCAGAUAUAAUUCAAUCAUAUUACCCAUGCAGAACAGCCUCUUAAGCUGACUCAAGAUUUUCAGUAAUAUUACAUUUUUGUUGGCACACCAAUCAGUAUCUGAAGAAGAUGCCUCUGCCUGUCUAAGUAUAUCUGACAAAUCCAACCAUAUUUCAGAUUUUAAAACUUGCUCAAAUAAAGGCUUUGCAUCCUUUGCUUAAUCACUUUUACAGCUCUGCUUCAGUUAUUUCUCAUACAGAAUUUGGAUAAAGGCUUUAGUUUGCAAUUAUUUAUUUCUCUGAAGAGGAGUUACAGUGUUAUGAAAUAUCACCUAAGACUAUGGAGAAUUAUUUAUAUUAUUGAAAAUCUUGUAAUUUACCUCUAAAAUCUACAGGCAGUCCUUUUGGAAGUAAAGGAAAUAAUCAAUAUCCACUUUAUUGAGACUAAGAAUACCCUUCCAAGCUCUAAAGCAUUAUGAAACAUCUUCAUUGCAUAUUGCAGUAUACCCCUCAUCUCUGAGGGCCCUUUUCUCAACUAUCCUACUUGCUCCUUCCCUUUCACCCUUUCCACUUCUGCAAAUAUAAGUUCUGCUCUAUGCAGGACCUUGUAGUUUAUUGGUUUUAAAACAUUACAAACUAAGAAUUUAUCAAAUACACACUUUUUUAAGAUAUGAACUCCAAAGUAAUAAAUAUUUCAUGAAGGAAGUAUUUCUAGGUGAUACUAGUUAAACAUCCACUUGAGAUCGGAUGGCAUUUUAUAACAAAGUUCUUUGUAUCUCCUUUGAAACUUGCAAGAUUCCUCAUUUGACUGAAAAAAAAAGGAAAUCUUAACACACAAGGGGUCUCUGUUCAGAGUCAGACUGGAUAAGAGGCUAUAACUUAGAAAUGGAUGUACCGACACACAGACAUUGGUUACUUGUUUAGGAAAAGUCCAACAAGUAAACACAUCGUCAGUCGUGUUGUUUUAGGGUUCUCUGUCAUUGUAAGUACAAAAGCUAAGGUACAGGGAACCAGUCUUCUUACUAGAACAUGUGUUAUGAAGAAUGCUGCAAAUAAGUGAUGAGACACCACCUUGUGACACAUAAAAGAUGCCCCUGGUGGGGACAAGACAUAUUUUUUUUCAGAGCUUCUCUUGAGUU